GCCUCGAGUCGGCUGAUGAGAGUUCCAAAGACUUCCAUUUUGUCAAGUGGUCUAUCAUCACAAUGAGGUGGACAGAGGCCCGUACGGCACGCAUAGAAGCUUCCCAGAAACUGUUGGAAUUGGAUUCCGGCAGAAGGCGGCCAGAAGCCUGCACAACAAGCAUUGCCUCCACAAGGAGAAGCAUAGAGAGCCUGCAGUGCUGCCUGAAGCCUUGUGGAAAAAGAAGCAACGCCGGCUAACGAAAAAGAUCAAGCUGAGACGGAAAAAUAAAAACGUAAACAGAGAAGUCUUUUUCAGUCCUA